rnacentral:lncRNA from 1 species
GGAGGAGGGGGCUGCUGCUUCUCCCUGUCUCCAAGUCAGGCUCUGAACACGAACUGGCUUCUUUUUUUUUUUUUUCCCCCUUUUUUUUUUUCCUUUCUCCUAGAAGAGUGCAGGCACACAUUACGCGAAACCCACAGCCUUUCGCGAUACACAGCUCGAAACGCUCUAGUUUAUUUAUAUAGCCCCUCCACCCUCAGCUCUUCCCACCCGUCCCCAAAUUCCCUAGAAAUCCAGCUAAGGCGUGGGGAAGAGGGGAAAGCGGUUUUGGAGGGGAGGGAGUUAUUUAUUUUUGUUUUGUUUGGGGAUUGUUUUGUUUUGUUGGGGUUUUUUUCUUUGCAUACAAAAAUAAGUGAAGAAGAUUUUGCAAGGUGCGGACGCGCCGUCGAGGCCGGAGGCACCGUGGGAGCAGCGAGGGCCGCAGGCAGAUUACAGACCCAGAGGCCUGAUUCUGAUGUCAGUGAAGUGAAUGGCACAUUUCCUAUUGAUUUCAGGGAAAGAAGGAGCA